GAAAAAGUUCAUAGGAACUGCUAAUUCCUAUAACCCGCGUAUAAGAACACGGCUUUUUCG
rnacentral:tRNA from 1 species